rnacentral:rRNA from 1 species
CAAUAGCGUAUAUUAAAGUUGUUGCAGUUAGAACGCUCGUAGUCGGAUUUCGGGGCGGGCCGACCGGUCUGCCGAUGGGUACGCACUGGUCGGCGCGUCCUUCCUUCCGGAGACCGUCCCUACUCUUAACUGAGCGGGGGCGGGAGACGGAACGUUUACUUUGAAAAAAUCAGAGUGUUUCAAGCAGGCAGCUCGCUCUUGCAUGGAUUAGCAUGGGAUAAUGAAAUAGGACUUUGGUGCUAUUUUGUUGGUUUCGAACACCGAAGUAAUGAUGAGAAGGGACAGUCAGGGGCACUCGUAUUCCGCCGAGAGAGGUGAAAUUCUCAGACCAGCGGAAGACGAACCACUGCGAAAGCAUUUGCCAGGGAUGUUUUCACUG